rnacentral:lncRNA from 1 species
AUGGAGGCAGUAGCAUGGUAACACCUCAAAAUCAAGCAUCCAGCAGCUGAAUCCGAAAAACACAAGGAACAAGGUGGUCUCAAAAAUUUGGAGUGAAGCCAGAGGUGAAGUGAGACUUUCUGAAGCUGCAACAAUACCUCUACUCUACUUAAAGCAAUUUCUGGCAACCAGAAAAACUCAAAUAUGCUCCACAUACCAAUCAUAUAAGAAGCCCCAGGUUCCUCAUGCCAACAGCUUCCGAUGAGUUCCGAAGCCUUCCUCUUUUAAUAUAAAGCUUUCCUACUGCCCUGCCUACAUUGGAAUCUCUGCCAAAGGCAAGUGAUGGGCUCUGACUACCUUGCUCCAGCAACUUUGACUAGGUAGCCUGUUUUCAUUUGCACUAUGUUUAUUUCUACAAAACCAUUUUCUCUCCCUCACAAACAUGAAAGAGGAGGGCAGAGAGGAGAGAAGUGCCCCUGGAGGAAGCCCAUCAAUUUAAUCCAUACAGUUUCUCCCAGGUGUCAUCACCAUGAGAAGGACAUACCACCCCAGAAUAAGGAGAGGCAAAUGGAUUAGACUUGAAAUGAACCCAGAGCCUGGAUUCAAGCACAGCCAAACCCAGCUUGGAUCUCAUAAUUCCCAGUCCUGUGCAGAAGAACCGUGAGACCUACAAUAUAUUUCCAUACCUUCUUUCAAGAAAUAAAUGCUCAAUUUUGUAAGACACUGAGGUUGAAGGUUGUUUGCUACACCACAUUUUGGUGAAAAUAGUUGACAGUGACACCAACCAAAUCAAGAAUAAUCCCACAACACAGAGCUAGAGUACAUGCAACUUCGGCAUCUACUAGUAUUCACUAAGUGCCAACAUUGUGCUGGCAUCUUUGCACGUUCUCUCAUUUCAAUUUUACAACAACAAUAAGAG